UUGAGAACGGGCUCUUAACCUUAGCCUAACUGCAGCUCUUCUGUUUCUGGCCUCAGAGGUUUGUCAGAGAACAUUAGAGAAAAAACUGGAGACCAAGGAACACAGCAGCCUGGUCAGGGAGGAAGUUGUGGGGAAGUUUAAAGUAGUUCAAUCUGUUCAAUCCAUCAUCAGAACAUGGAGGGAGGACAAACCAACUGGCAGACCCACCAAGACAUGGAUGUGCAUCUAGACUAAGAGGCUGCGCAUUAAUAGAAUUAAUCAGAAACACAGCAAAGAGGCUCAUGGUAACUCUGGAGGAGCUGCAGAGUUCCACAGCUCGAUUAUAAGAAGCAGUUAACAAUCUGUUUUAGGGCAAAUGGUGACCUCUGUAUCAGGUGGGCAUUCAGUAAUGGUUGUCCUGGUAGAAAACUCCAACCGAGGAGCAAUACCCUGGAGGAGAGACAAUAGCGUUCACAAAAUGAUGCUGGAAAAUCCAUUGCUGAUGGAAGGAAAAGGGAAGUGAGCGGCUGUCCUCAUCAGAACUUCUCGACCCACUCCAGAGAAUGGGGGAACAAGCUUGGGCUCCGGAAACAGGAAACUUCGAGCAUCUUCUUCAAAGCAUGCCAGAGUGUCUCCAGCUACAAAAUGAACAUG